rnacentral:pre_miRNA from 1 species
CAAUUACAGCCACUACUUCAAGACCAUGGAAGACCUGCGGGACAAGAGUCUUGGAGUCACCAUUGAGAACUCCAGGAUUGUCUUGCAGAUUGACAACGCCCGCCCGCCUGCCUGCAGAUC